GACGAACGCUGGCGGCGUGCUUAACACAUGCAAGUCGAACGGUGAAGGGACCGGUUUUUGCUGGUUCUGGAUGAGUGGCGAACGGGUGAGUAACACGUGGGUAACCUGCCCCCUUCUUCUGGAUAACCGCAUGAAAGUGUGGCUAAUACGGGAUAUUCUGCGCCUGCUGCAUGGUGGGUGUGGGAAAGAUAUUGUUUCGGUGGGGGAUGGGCUCGCGGCCUAUCAGCUUGUUGGUGGGGUGAUGGCCUACCAAGGCGGUGACGGGUAGCCGGCCUGAGAGGGUGGACGGUCACACUGGGACUGAGACACGGCCCAGACUCCUACGGGAGGCAGCAGUGGGGAAUAUUGCACAAUGGGCGCAAGCCUGAUGCAGCGACGCCGCGUGAGGGAUGGAGGCCUUCGGGUUGUAAACCUCUUUCGCCAGUGAAGCAGGCCUGUCCCUUGUGUGGGUGGGUUGACGGUAGCUGGAUAAGAAGCGCCGGCUAACUACGUG
rnacentral:rRNA from 1 species